UUUGCAGUUGAAGCUGAUGACCAGCAGCUGACUACAGCUCUGGAGGCUGAGGAGCAAGUGGGAUGACUCUGAGCUGUCCAAGGGAGAUCUACAAGCAACUUGCAAGUGUCCCUGUAGUUUUCCAGUGUGCCAUUUUUUUAUUACUGGAAGGAAGAUAAUACCUCUUGCUGAACUUCUCACCACUGUCGACCAGAACAGCGGUAGGCCUGGCCACCGCAGAGAGCAAAGCCAACACAAAGGCCUGAGCAAACAGCCAAAGGACAGUGAUAGAGCAUCAGACCUGUAUGAGUUAUUAUAGAGAUGAACAGAGUCAAGUACAGCUUUGACCUCUCCUGAAGGUGUCUGCUCAAUGAGUUCCUCAUGUUCAAGGAGCAGUACACAUAUGGAUGUUGAGGAAAACCAUGGGAUUCCCUACAGAUGAUGUUCUGCACAUAUAAUUUCCUACAGGGGAGAAAGCACCUUGAGCCUGAAGUUCUUUGGUUUUUUGACUACAUAAAGGCAUAAAGAUUGCUGUUGUGGCCUGCUUUCUUGAGAUGCUGAGCAGCCAUAAAUUCAUGUGAAGUCGAGGAAGCCGUAUGUACUACUG